UGACCUUCAAUCUCCAUCCAACCCCCCCUUCGCCUCUUCUAUCUUUCUUUUUUUUUUCCUCAUUCACCGAUUCCACCCGUUCGCCUCCCCACGCCCUUUCCCUCUGCCUCACCACCUACACCCCACCCCCUCUUUUUCUCCACUGUUUGCUCUCCCUACUCACAGCCCUUUUUUUUCACCUCCACAAUUUGGUGGGGCAUCACCUAUCCUCUCUCUUCCGUUCGUCCCCCCCAACUGCCCACGGCUCUACCUUAUCUCAUUCUUUGUGGAGUUUUUGCAAAACCCGUACAAGACGCUUCGGUGGUGUGGUCGUAGCGAUGGCGGAAGCGAUGAACGCGAUGGCAUUGGAGACCAAGGCGGCAGCGGUGGCUGCGAUAUGAGGCGACGGCGCAGCGGUUGUAAAGAUCGCGCUCUUGGAGAUCAACAUCAAACUGAGGGGCGACAAUGGUGGAGGCGAGGGCGGUGGAGAUCGAGGCGACGACAGUGGUGGCUGCAGACCUCACCCUUUUGGAGAUCAACAUUAAGUGGGAGAGCCCCUCCGCAAAAAUCCCCUCCUCCGGUCCCUCUCAUCCACUUGAGAAAUUCCUGUUCUUACUGCCUUAUUCUGGAGAACCCCUCAUUUUAUAGGAUUUUUCUAGGAGUUCACGGUCGACUCAUCCAAAAAGGUACGAAAUAUCUGAUUUCGUGUGCGAUGCAAGUUAUUUUUGCUAAAAUCCAAGAUAUGGAGUUCUUAGAUCAUUGCCCAUCACCCCUGGUUGCAGCUACCAUAAUAUGUGCUACUGAUGAGACACCAGCUGUAGCAUUUAUUAAUCCUGGGAUAGUUGUUACAUGGUGUGUUGGACUUACAGAGUUAUUUAGGUCUCAAUUAUUCAAUCGCUUCUUGAAGAGAAGCCAGGAUAAUUUUUGACGUACAUGCGGACCUGGGGUAUCAAACUGUAAUUUGUUUAUUAUGGUGAAGCAUCUACCUGGAUUUAAGAUGCUUUGUGAAUAGUUUGAGUGUAUGGUAAUGAAAUCUUUUCUUUCUGCUAGCACUCCUUAACAACUUCGUGCUAAUAUUUUCUUACGUGAUGUUGUAUUUGUAAAGUUGAAUUUUUAUAAAUUUUACAGCUUUCUGUGAUUUAUAUUUGUUCAAAUAGUGUUGGGGAGCUUUCCUUUUAUUGUGAUUAAAUGUUGCUUUUUGGAGGCAUAGUAGCAUAACUCUUUUGUCCCUUUAUGAUCUGUUAACAAAAAAUUGGGAAAUAUAAAUGGUAAUUUGAAUUGAAUAGAUUAUUCUCUUUGUAUAUUGAAAGUAUUUGGUUUAGCAAGUUGUUGGCAGAACAAAGGGCAAUGGCUGCAGUUGCGUAGCGCCCCUUGACCAAUGCUGGUUCUCAAAAUCAUACCACCGCUCUUCAUGAUUCGGUUUGAUCUGGUGCCCCUACAUUCACUUUAAUCAAAUGUACUCUAUUCCGGAUGUUUCACUUGGAUCAUGGUUGACUGGAUUAGAUGCCGAGCAUAUUGAAGAUUGAAGAUCAUGCUGCCGUGCUCACUUGGAUAUGAUUCUUUAUUUCCUCUUCUUUGUCUUAUAUAUCAACUUCCGAUAAUAUUAUUCUAGAUAUUCCAUAAAAUAUCAAUAGUUUUAUUUAUCUAUUUAUGCUAAUCAUUGAACUCACGAUUCUCCAAUCAUUCCUAAAAUCUGAUUAUUUACUUAUUUAUUCAUUUUUUUGAAGCCGUGUCAGAAUCAGUU